rnacentral:rRNA from 1 species
UUUAAAAAUUAUAUUUUUUUUAUAUAACCUGCCCUAUGAAGAAAAGAAUAUGGCAUUUAAAUGGCCGCAAUAUAUUGAUUGUGCAAAGGUAGCAUAUUUAUUUGACUUUUAAAUGGAGCCUUGUAUGAAUGGUUGAAUACUGUAUAUUUUUAUUGAAUUUAAUUUUUGGAAUUUUUAUUCAGAGUAAAAAUACUUUGAUUUAAUAAAAAGAAGAUGAGACCCUAUUAAGCUUGAUUUUUACAGUUUAGGUAAAAUUUAAAUGGGGUAUUUGAAUUCUUUGAGAAUUUAUAUUGAACCACUAUAGUGGUAGUUUGACUAAGUUACUAUAGGGAUAACAGGAUAAUGUUUUCUAAGAGUUCUUAUUAAAGAAAAUGUUUGUUACUUCGAUGUUGAAUCAAAGUUCUUAGUUGGUUGCAUAGGCUAAUAUAAGUGAUCUGUUCGAUCUUUAAUUCUUUAAG